rnacentral:rRNA from 1 species
GUUCUCCGCAUCGGGACCUCCAUCACGGUUGGCUCUGGGACAGCCACCCUGUUUUGGUUCGACCGUUGGGCUGGGGACUCCCCUUCCGUUGCGCGGUUCCCGAAUCUUUUCUCCAUCGCGGUGGAGCCUAGGAUCUCCAUUGAGACGGCCCUUAUUGAAUUAGGGCGUCUCGCGUUCUGGCGGCCAUUUGGGCCCCUGGAUAUCGCCGCCUGGCAUGAGCUCCUGGAGGCCGUCGCGCUUCACGAGCCUGAUCUGACGCAGACGCAUGAUCGCUUAUCGUGGCACCUAGAGCCCUCGGGCAAAUUCUCCACGAAGUCCUUGUACCAGGCCAUCGCCCCCAACCCAGGCCCGGCGGCCCUCGAGAUGAUCUGGGCUAUCUGUGUGACACUCAAGAUCAGGAUCUUCAUGUGGCAAUGGAUCCGUGGCCGGCUGCCCUCCGGCAUGGAGGUGUUAAAACGGAAUGGCCCGGGCGACGGGAUUUGUCCCCUUUGUGGGACUGAGGAAAACUCGAAUCUCAUUUUCUUCUCAUGCGUCUCCGCCCAGUUCCUCUGGAGCUGCCUCCAUGAGGUAGUCAGGGGCUGUGUUGCAGGGAUACGUCACAUAAGUGCCGUAUCGGUGCAGGAUACUGCACUAGGACGGGGAUACGUCCGGAUACGCGUGGGAUACCCAUAUCCCUACGUAUCACGUUUUUGCGAAUUAAAAUAA